GGAAGCGUAAGCAGGCCGGUGUCUGUUCCGGUCUUCAAAACCGGUGGACGGCAUCUCUGAUGUCGUCGGUGCGUUCGACUCGCACACGCUUCCGCCA
rnacentral:tRNA from 1 species